ACUAAACAUGAAGCAGAGUUGUGUGAUAUCUUUAUCGCAUUGGUUUUGGAGCAACAUGACUGAUGAUGGAUUUGAAUGAAGAGACAGAGCUUGUGUUUGUGUGCCUGUGUAUAUAGCCACUUAACCUUAUUCAUUAUCUAUCUAUCUAUCUAUUAUCUAUCUAUCUAUCUAUCUAUCUAUCUAUCUAUCAUCUAUCUAUCAUCUAUCUAUCUAUCCCCAUAGUGGAAAAUAUACUCAUACCAUUAUAUUUUUCUCCCCAUAAGGGGAAAGGCGGCUAAGGAGCAAAGAGAUUUAGAAGAAACGUCAAGAGAGAACAGAUGUCAGCAGGCCUUCCUAUUUAUUCCUCCACUCAAAAUUCAGCUUCUUGGUGCUAAUUCUGGUUACAGAUGUUGUGGUCAAAUGUGUUAUCCCCUUGAGAAAACUACAUCUUUCUUGGGACACUGGACCUUUAGUUCUGGGUGACCAGAAAGUCAUAAAAAUAUACCAAAGCAGUUUACCAUACAAUA